GACGAACGCUGGCGGCGUGCCUAACACAUGCAAGUCGAGCGGAGCCAACCGAUAGAUCCCUUCGGGGUGACAUCGGGGAAGCUUAGCGGCGGACGGGUGAGUAACGCGUGAGUAACCUGCCCAUAAGAGGGGAAUAACACAGCGAAAGUUGUGCUAAUACCGCAUAAUAUGUUUUUACCGCAUGAUAGAAACAUCAAAGAUUUAUCGCUUAUGGAUGGACUCGCGUCUGAUUAGGUAGUUGGUGAGGUAACGGCUCACCAAGCCUACGAUGUCUAGGGGUUCUGAGAGGAAGGUCCCCCACACUGGAACUGAGACACGGUCCAGACUCCUACGGGAGGCAGCAGUGGGGAAUAUUGGGCAAUGGGCGAAAGCCUGACCCAGCGACGCCGCGUGAGGGAAGAAGGGUCUUCGGAUUGUAAACCUUUGUUGAUAGGGAAGAAGAAAGUGACGGUACCUAUCGAGGAAGCCACGGCUAACUACGUG
rnacentral:rRNA from 1 species